GGUACUACUUCAGCUGCCAGCAGCAGGCGUUUAAGAAAGCUAAUUUCUAAACCAGUAAAUAGAACAAGGCAAACAGAGGGGCAUUCACUUGUCUAAGGAAAAAUCUUGAGAAAAUCUAAACGUCUUGAAUUUUUAUUCUGGAAAGUUAUACAUUUUCUAGGGAUGGGCAUAGUUAAAGCUUUUAUCUUAAUAAAUAUGCUUUUAG
rnacentral:lncRNA from 1 species